rnacentral:rRNA from 1 species
UACGUAGGGGGCAAGCGUUGUCCGGAUUUAUUGGGCGUAAAGAGCUCGUAGGCGGUUCCGUAAGUCGGGUGUGAAAAAUCUGGGCUCAACCCAGUGGAGCACCCGAUACUGCGGUGACUGGAGUCCGGUAGGGGAGUGUGGAAUUCCUGGUGUAGCGGUGAAAUGCGCAGAUAUCAGGAGGAACACCGGUGGCGAAGGCGGGUCUCUGGGCCGAUACUGACGCUGAGGAGCGAAAGCGUGGGGAGCGAACAGG